CUUCUCCAUCCGAGUCACAAGGGUCGACUUCCCUCAGGAUCAUUUCCAAGGCCUGCUGAGUGGUGAGUCUUCUCUGCAUUUUCUUUCCUUGGAGAGGAGGUCCGUACACCACAGAAUUCUUCAGGGCAAUGAAGGAUUAGGCUAAGUGUAGUGAGAUUGUAUCAUAUAUAUAGGGCUUGGCUUCCUGAUCAAUGCUCCACUACCAAAAGGAAGCCAAGCCCUGCCACCCUUUACAACAAAACAAGGUGUGAUCACAUUGAUGCCACAAUGGACGACUGAUCAAUGCUCCACUACCUUUUUUUUUUUUUUUUUACUUUGAUUUUUAUUAGGUUAUUUUAUCAUUGUGGACAUACAGUAAAGAAAAUAACAAACAGACAUACAUAUAAACAAACAGAGUCUGGAGUUUACAUAUCUUUCUCCAUUUAUCACAUUGCAGAAAAAAAAAGAAAACCUAUUAUGUUAUUUCAUUUGUGUCACUUCUGAAUGUUUUCCACUUCCUCCAUAGUCUGUCGUAUUUACCUCCCAUCAGUCUAAUGUUGAGUGUUAUUUUUUCCAUCUCUGAGAUAUCCUCUACAAUACUUGCAGUAUUCUUUGUUUUUUCCUUCUUUGGGUAAGAUUGUUAUAAUAGCUUCUCCCCAUGAUGGUGGAGCUAUUCCCUGAUUCAGAGUCCAGUUGAAGCAAGAUAGAAGAAGUGGCUUGAGUUCUUCUUUGAAAACUUUGUAACUUUGUAGGUGUGAUCACAUUGAUGCCACAAUGGACGACUGAUCAAUGCUCCACUACCAAAAGGAAGCCAAGCCCUGCCACCCUUUACAACAAAACAAGGUGUGAUCACAUUGAUGCCACAAUGGACGACUGAUCAAUGCUCCACUACCAAAAGGAAGCCAAGCCCUGCCACCCUUUACAACAAAACAAGGUGUGAUCACAUUGAUGCCACAAUGGACGACUGAUCAAUGCUCCACUACCAAAAGGAAGCCAAGCCCUGCCACCCUUUACAACAAAACAAGGUGUGAUCACAUUGAUGCCACAAUGGACGACUGAUCAAUGCUCCACUACCAAAAGGAAGCCAAGCCCUGCCACCCUUUACAACAAAACAAGGUGUGAUCACAGGGC
ensembl:lncRNA